CACGUAGGGGGCAAGCGUUGUCCGGAUUUAUUGGGCGUAAAGAGCUCGUAGGCGGCUCAGUAAGUCAGGUGUGAAACCUCCAGGCUCAACCUGGAGAAGCCACCUGAUACUGCUGUGGCUAGAGUCCGGUAGGGGAGCGUGGAAUUCCUGGUGUAGCGGUGAAAUGCGCAGAUAUCAGGAGGAACACCAGCGGCGAAGGCGGCGCUCUGGGCCGGAACUGACGCUGAGGAGCGAAAGCGUGGGUAGCAAACAGG
rnacentral:rRNA from 1 species